CAGGGGAAGGCCGUCUUUUUAAAAUUCGAAUUUGUUCUUAACUGACUUGCCUAGUUAAAUAAAGGUUCAAUAAUAAAAAAUAAAAAAAACAUCUAUGGGUGAUGCUCGUUUUUGGAUAGAGAAGUGCCUAAUACACAUGUUGUUGUUUUAUUUUUUUCUUCAUUUUUUGUAAUUAUUUGUUAGUAUUUUCUUGUAUUAUUAUUUUUUUUCAAUACAAGUGUUUGCCACAGGGGACGUCCAAUAACUACACCGGUGUUUUACUGAUAAGGCAAGUCGGUAGGAUACAGGCUGUAAUGGACUACCAGGGGUAUUAGAGGAAUAAUAUAAUCAAUUAUACAAAUUCAGGAGCUAAUCAGAGAACAGUAGACAGUUGGAAAAUAAUUAAUGGCACGGACCCGGUGAUGCCAACGCGAACCCACCUGACAACGCAAACACAGCAGGAUCAAACUCAGCCUCGACAGUGAGUAGGCUAGCCACAAUAAAUCUAUCUUCAUUAUUGACUUAUUCCGUAACAGCUAUGUUUUCAAAUGUUUCAAGGGGACAUCCAAUAGUCAUUCGGGAUAUUACGGAUAUAAUAUUAUCUUCUUCAACUGCAGUAUCAAAAAAGGGCGAAAAAUGUAUCAGUUCAGAUGGGUUCACCAUGAUAUCACCCAUUGAAUCGCGACGGAGUAAACUACACAUGAGCGGUGCUGUGAGGCCAAGGAGAGGCACCUGGUGGAGUUAAGCCAAGCUAAACUGCAGAAACAGCUGAGAAAAGAGGAGAUGGACCGGCAACGGAGACAGGCAGAGGAAAAGGAGUAUGAGGAUGAAGGCUAAACAGCAGGAGAACGUCAGAGAGUGUUAGCAAUGUACAAAUAAAUCACUUAUUGACUGUCACUGUAUUGUUCUUCAGGUAUUCUCUCUGUAAUACCAUUUCAAGCCAAUAGAGGACACUGCAGACAGCUGGCACACUGAAACAAUCCUAGAUAUGGUGAUUGAAUGAGAGAGAAAUAGAGAGACGGAGAAAAAGAUAUCCACACCCAUAGGAGAGUUUCCAGGAAUUACAUGUUACAGCAGAGAGAGCUGUUCGACAUGCUUGGACCUGGCCUCCUGAGUAGCACAGUGGUCUAAGGCACUGCAUCGCAGCUUGAGGUGUCACUAUAGACCCGGGUUUGAUCCCAGGCUGUCUCACAGCUGGCCAUGACUGGGAGACACAUGAGGCUGCGAGAAAUUGUCCCAGUGUUGUACAGGUUAUGGGAGGGGCUGGCCAGCCAGGAUUUCCUUGUCCAUUGCGCUCCAGUGACUCCUUGGGCUCCUGCAAGCUGGACGCUGUUUCCUCUGACACAUUGGUGCGGCUGGUUUCCAGGCUACGAGUGUCAGGAAGCAGUGCGGCUUGGCAGGGUCGUGUUUUGGAGGACGCAUGGCUCUCUUGAGUCCGUAGGAGAGUUGCAGCAAUGGGACAAGGAGAAAAAGGGGUAAAAAAUAAAUAAAAAAUACAUAUUUGGCUGGCUCCCUCUGGUUAAUACUGACAGAGCUUUCCUACAGUUUAUUUUAAUAACUCUGGUACCAUUUUCAUAAAUAUGUGGUGAAUUUUCAAAACUGGUAACACCAGCCAGUCUUGCAUUCAAACAUUUCAUUGUGCAUUCAUUUUGUUUAUAGACAUCUUUCAUGAUACAACCAUUGAUCCAAAAUAUUUGUUUAUAAUGAGUACAUUGGUUUAAAUUACCAAAACAGAACAUAAUGAUAUCUUCUGAAUUUAGUUAUUAUAAUAAUCCAGUUAAUCCAAUAGCAAACUAAUUUGAAAGAAGCAUAAUGUUUAGCAGACGCUAGUUUGCAUCAAGCCUGUCUUGAGCAUUUGGCCAUAGGUUCUCAUCAAAAUCGCAGUAAAUAUCCACAUUUUUCAUGCACCAGGGGAAACAUCUUUUGGCAUGGUGAAUCCAAGCCUUACAUAGGUCUGGAUUGAAAUCAUUGCAUGCCUCAUCCAAUGCCUGUAAGUGUGUGGUACGCUCAUGGGGAUCUUCCACCUGUAUAGUAAUUGUAUUGUACAUAUUUAUUGUAGUGGUCAUGUAUGUGGCUCAGUUCAUUAGAGCAUGGCACUGGCAACCCCAGAAUUGUGGGUUUGAUUCCCACUGGGGUCACAUACCAAAUUGUAUUUUUAUUUAUUGAACCUUUAUUUAACUAGGCAAGUCAGUUAAGAACAAAUUCUUGUUUAAAAUGACGGCCUACACCGGCCAAACCUGGACGACGCUGGGCCAAUUGUGCACCACCUUAUGGGACUACCAAUCACGGCCGUAUGUGAUACAGCCUGGAAUAGAACCAGGGACUGUAGUGACGCCUCUUGCACUGAGAUGCAGUGCCUUAGACCUCUGUAUCGGCCAAUAUAAUUUCAAUAAAGCAGUGUGAACCCCCACCCCCAUCAAAAAUACCCCAGCAACUUCAUUUUGGAUGCAUGUUUACUGUAUAGGGGAUGCAUUUCUUUCUUGUUUAGGACUUUCUGGAUAAUUGGUAUUAUAUUGUAUUACUGCACUGUGGGAGCUAGAAACACAAGCAUUUUGCUGCACCUGCUGUAACAUCUGCUAAUCUGCGUACCCGACCAAGACACUUUGGUUUGUAACAUACAGUACAUCUCUGAUCUUGUAAAUAUCCAAGAUUUUUUUUACUGUGAAGUAAAAUCAUAAUAGUCAUCAAAGUAGUUCUCAAAAUCUGUAGAAGACAAAACAGUUUACAUGUCAAAUCUGUAGGUUUACCAAACGUUUAAGUGAUUAUGAAUUAAGAGCCGUUGGUUUAUGUAACAGUAAAAUGUAUUUUAACAAAAGAUAAGAGAAUCACAUCAAAAGUAAUGUGAGCAUUGCAUUGUGUAUGGCAAUUCUUUUUUACAUGUUAUAUUAACAUCUACUGCAAUGGGAAACAUGUAUUUCUAGAUGAAACACUGAUUAGGUUUGGUGAAAAAAGGGACUGUAUGAUUUUGUGUGUUUUACUUAGUCAAUUGAAAAUGUGCUUAAGAGUUUUGAAACAACUGCCUUUAUGAUGAUCUGUUUUUAGUUUUGUACUAAGAGUUGUGAUGUACCACAUACUUCUGAAAAUGUCACUAAAGCGAUUAAAACAAGAGAUGUGGUUACUGAGCCUUUGAAGGGAGCCACCUAAAAAGUCAACCAUGUUUCUCUAGACAACCCGGUCCAAGGUCGUGACUCAAAGUUCCAGUCUGAGAGACAGGAGGAGAGGUGUAGAUGGGAAGUAAUCCAUCAGGACAACGUCAGGUCAGCACUUUGUGAAGGAACUUGUA